CCCCUAGACGUUCUGGGCUGCACGCGCGCUACAAUAAUACGCACAGCGAGUAUCACCGAGCUCGAAAGGGCAAGGUAAACAAUAGAAAAGGUACUGUAAUGGUUAUAGAUCCUUGUAAUUAUUGAUCUUCAACGAGGAAUUCCUAGUAAGUAUGUGUCAUCAUCACGCACUGAUUACGUCCCUGCCCUUUGUACACACCGCCCGUCGCUCCUACCGAUUGGGUGAGCCGAUGAAGCUCUCGGAUGUAGGCUAUUCAUAGCCCGCAGAAGAGAUUUGAAUCGUAGCGCUUAGAGGAAGGAGAAGUCGUAACA
rnacentral:rRNA from 1 species